rnacentral:rRNA from 1 species
CGGGGUGAGUAACGGCGUGGGUAACCUGCCUCAUACAGGGGGAUAACAGUUAGAAAUGACUAGCUAAAACCGCAUAAGCGCACAUUGUCGAGUGGCAGAGUGUGAAAAACUCCGGUGGUAUGAGAUGGACCCGCGUCUGAUUAGCUAGUUGGUGAGGUAACGGCCCACCAAGGCGACGAUCAGUAGCCGGCCUGAGAGGGCGACCGGCCACAUUGGGACUGAGACACGGCCCAAACUCCUACGGAAGGCAGCAG